rnacentral:SRP_RNA from 2 species
GGCUCGGACCUAUGCGAUUACAACGCCCAAAUCUUGUCAGGACUGGAAGGUAGCAGCAAUACGGGAUGCUUGUGAUAGGCUUAGACUCCGGGCCUUUA